rnacentral:tRNA from 1 species
AUAUAAAAAGCGAGAAAUUUGCAUAUAGUUUCGGCCUAUAUCUUGAGGGUGAGAGUCCUUCUUUAUAUU